CAAUUCCAUGGAGUGGGUUCAAAUCCACAUAGAAGGAAUAAAACAAACCUGCAUCCAGUACUUAGAGUUUCAUAAACCAAUCUCUCCUGAGAUUAUCAGGAACGUCACUUUAAUUGACGAAUACAAAACCAAUGCAACCUCGGUUUCUACAACAUCAGCGCCAAUUCUUGAUCCAGAUUCAGUGACAGAGCUUUAACAACGUAUUGAAGACAUGUCAUGUGUAGAUGACUGUAACCACAAUGGUGACUGUGUUUAUGGAACGUGCAAAUGUCGCACUGGUUAUUUAGGUGAAGAUUGUGCCAUUCAUGAAAAUGAUGCCCCGAACAUCAUCGGCAUACCAGACAAUGGUUUGUGUGAUCUAUCAGAAAGACCGUGUGAACAGACGGCCGUUGUAGGAA